UCUCCAGUUCUUAUCCAAUGUGGAGAAAAAAAACUGUUACAUCCUAAGCCUUUCACACUAUAUCUUAACAUUAUGGAGAGUCCUCAGUUCCAAACCAUACUAUAGAAUGUCUGGAGACAAGAAUAUGAAGGAGCACCUAUGCAGCAGAUAUGGAGUAAAAUGAAGACCAUGAAACAGCAACUGAAGGAGACAAAUGCUUAUAUGGCUUCAUAUAAGCAAAAACUUGCACAGGCUAGGGAGACACUGGUAUUAUCCAGAAUCAGUUGUAGCACUAUCCACUAUCACAACCUUUGUUUAAUGAGGAAAAAGCAGCAUUAGAAGAAAUUGAGAAAUGGAGUUGUGUGGAGGAACAAAUUAUGAGACAGAAAUCCAAGGCCUGCUGGAUUGAAUGUGGUGAUGCCAACACAAAAUAUUUUCAUUCCCAGUGGAAGAUCAGAACUUGCCAGAAUAGCAUAACUUCUAUAUACACUUAUAUAGGUCUGAAGCUCACAGACCCCUUAUCUGUGGAACAGGAGCUAUAAAUGUUUUCAAUCAUUGAUGGGAGAUUGUGCUGGGGAACUACCUUGUGUCAACACACUUAUUUUUAAAGGAGGAAAGUGUCUUAAUCACAACAAAAACUGCUGAUCCAGGAGGUUACUAUGGAAGAGAUUGCAGAAGCACUAAAAGAACGGCUUAUGAUACUCUGGAAUGGAGGUUUCUUAAAUAGAUCCUCAUUUAUCUUGUGUUUCCUGCUAAAUUUGUUCACUGGAUAAUGUCAUGUGUCACAACUGUUUCAUACUCCCUAGUUCUGAAUGGUGGAUUAACAAAACCCUUCAAUGAUAAGAGAGGUAUGAGACAAGGUGAUCCUAUGUCACUGUAUCUAUUUGUGCUGCCUAUGGAAUAUAUCAAUAGGUAACUGGGACAGUUGCACAAGAAUGGGGAUUUCAAUUUUCACCCAAAAUGCAGAAAGCUUAAUUGUACUCAUGUAUGUUUUGCUGAUGAUCUAUUAAUGUUAUGUCGAGAUGAUCUUGUUUCCAUUCAGAUUUUGAAGAAGGCUUUUCAAAAAUUCUCUGAAGCAUCUGGUUUGCAAGCUAAUGUUAUCAAAAGUGCAAUAUACUUGGCUGGAGUGCAGCAGUGUACUAGAGAAGAAAUUCUGGAGGCAUUGGGUUUUAUAGGUCAUCUUCCAUUCAAAUACUUGGGGAUACCUCUUGAUUCAAAAAAACUUGUUGUCUAUCACUAUCUACCAUUGAUAGAGAAGAUUACAGCUAAGAUUACAUGUUGGUCAGCUAAACUUCUCUCUUAUGAAGGGAGAUGUCAGCUGAUCAAAGCUGUCAUCUUUGGCAUUCAAACUUACUGGACUCAAGUUUUCAUUCUGCCAAAAAAAGUGUUGAAAGCUUUUGAAACAAUCUGCAGAACCUUCUUGUGGACUCGAACUGCUAAUCUCCCUAAAAGAGCACUAGUUGCUUGGGAAAGGGUUUGUAGACCAAUUACAGCUGGAGGACUCAACCUAUUAGCUAUGACUGUGUGGAAUAAAGCAACUAUCAGUAAGCAUCUUUGGGAUUUAGCCAGAAAGAAGGACUGCUUGUGGAUAAAAGGGGUGCACUGUUACUAUAUCAAGCAGGCUGACACUGAAACAAUGACCAUUCCUAAGUCUGCCUCUUGGGUUGUGAGGAAAAUACUGGACAGCAGAACUGCUAUCAUGAGGAAUCAGGUGCUUCAGGGGGAUCUUCUUGGCAGAUUGAAAGGAGUCUGCAAACUGGAUCAUUUCCAGAUUCAGCAGCUGUAUCUAACAAUGCUUCCCAGUUUCAGCAAGGUUGAAUGGAAUAGUCUGAUGAUGAGUGAAAAUGUUCAUAACAUCACCAGCCCUGAAAGGAGUCUGCAAACUGGAUCAUUUCCAGAUUCAGCAGCUGUACCUAACAAUGAUUCUCAGCUUCAGCAAGGUUGAAUGGAAGAGUAUGAUAAUGACUGCAAAUGCUCACCCUCGGCAUAGAUCACUAUGUGGUUAGCUGCACAACAAAGGCUACCAACAGUGGACAGACAGUAGAAAUUUAGCAUACAAGUUCCUGUAACUUAUGUGUUUUGCAAUCAGAGUACAGAAGCCUUUAAUCAUUUAAUUUUUGAGUGUUCAGUUACAAGGAGUCUGUGGUCCAGACUCUCUCUCUUGCUGGGGCACCACAGAUCUGUUGGUGAUUGGGAUACAGAAUUGAAAUGGAUUUGCAGCAAUGCAAAGAGCAGACUGGGGCUUACUGCUAUGAACAGCUUGUGUAUUUGUCAAAACUGUUGCACUUAUCUGGAGGGAGAGGAAUAACAUCAGAUUUGACAGUAAAGUCUACGUGGAGAAUCAGAUAUGCAGAGAAAUAUACUACUUAUUCAUAUUCGAGGCAAGAGUUGUAAUCGAUGGCAAAAUGGCUUGCGGCAACUUAAUAGUUUUCCAUAGAUAUAGUGUAUAUUAGUUGUCCCUAUACUAAGUUGUAAUUAGUGCAUAUUUGUAGUUUUCUUAGUAUAGAUGAUUUUGAUAAAUGAGUAGUAGCAAGUCAAAGCUACUACAAAUACUUCACCUUGUGCAUUUUCUGAUAUUAAUGAAAU
rnacentral:lncRNA from 1 species